rnacentral:rRNA from 1 species
ACUGCUAUUUGGGUGAGGAUAGCCAUGCGAGUCGAAUGGGAUACCUAAAUUUCCCAUGGCGAACUGCUCAGUAACACAUGAUCAACUUACCCUAUUGAGAAAGAUAACCUCGGGAAACUGAGGAUAAUAUUUCAUAGUUGAAUUGGCUUGGAAAAGUUUUUCAACAAAAGGGAUAGGGAAAAUGGUCUCUAUCCGCUAUAGGAUAGGAUCGUGUUCGAUUAUGGUAGUUGGUGAGGUAACGGCUCACCAAGCCGAUAAUCGAUAGGGGCCGUGAGAGCGGGAGCCCCGAGAUGGGUACUGAGACAACGACCCAGGCCUUACGAGGCGCAGCAGGUGCGAAACCUCCACAAUACACGAAAGUGUGAUGGGGUUACCCAAAGUGUUCAUUAUUGAACUGUGGUAGGAGAGUAAUGUCCCCUACUAGAAAGGAGAGGGCAAGGCUGGUGCCAGCCGCCGCGGUAAAACCAGCUCUUCAAGUGGUCGGGAUAAUUAUUGGGCUUAAAGUGUCCGUAGCCGGUUUGGUAAGUUCCUGGUAAAAUCGGAUAGCUUAACUAUCUGUAUGCUAGGAAUACUGCUAUACUAGAGGGCGGGAGAGGUCUGAGGUACUACAGGGGUAGGGGUGAAAUCUUAUAAUCCUUGCAGGACCACCAGUGGCGAAGGCGUCAGACUGGAACGCGCCUGACGGUGAGGGACGAAAGCCAGGGGAGCGAACCGGAUUAAAUACCCGGG